rnacentral:rRNA from 1 species
UACGAAGGGUGCAAGCGUUAAUCGGAAUUACUGGGCGUAAAGCGCGCGUAGGUGGUUCAGCAAGUUGGGUGUGAAAGCCCUGGGCUCAACCUGGGAACUGCAUCCAAAACUACUGAGCUAGAGUACGGUAGAGGGUAGUGGAAUUUCCUGUGUAGCGGUGAAAUGCGUAGAUAUAGGAAGGAACACCAGUGGCGAAGGCGGCUACUUGGUCUGCAACUGACGCUGAGGCGCGAAAGCGUGGGGAUCAAACAGGAUUAGAAACCCCCGUGUCGUCCUGAG